GAGACGGAGUCUCGCUCUUUCGCCCAGGCAGGAGUGCAGUGGCGCUAUCUUGGCUCACUGCAAGCUCCACCUCCCGGGUUCACACCAUUCUCCUGCCUCAGCCUCCCGAGUAGCUGGGACUACAGGUGCCCACCACCGUGCCCGGCUAAUUUUUUGUAUUUUUAGUAGAGACGGGAGAAUUGCUUGAACCUGAGAGGUGGAGGCUGCAGUGAGCCGAGAUUGCACCACUGCAUUCCAGCCUGGGCGACAGAGCGAGACUCUGUCUCAAAUAAAAGUGGAGUUACUUUUGUGCAGAGUUUCCACUCCCCUGGUAAGAACAAAAUACUUGUGUGUAUGAGACACAAAUAUCAAUUCUGUAAUUUCUAAUUUCACAUAAGAGGUAAAGGCUCUUAUGUUUGUAUUUAAAAUGAUCAUUACACCAGGCCUGGUGGCUCACACCUGUAAUCCCAGCACCUUGGGAGGCUGAGGCAGGUUGGAUCACUUGAGGUCAGGAGUUCGAGACCAUCCUGGCCAACAUGGUGAAACCCUGUCUCUACUAAAAAUACAAAAAUUAGCUGGGCUUGGUGGCGCACGCCUGUAAUCCCAGCUACUCAGGAGGCUGAGGCAGGAGAAGCUCUUGAAACUGGGAGGCGGAAGUUGCAGUGAGCUGAAAUCACACCCCUGCACUCCAGCCCGGGCAACAAGAGCGAAACUCUGUCUCAAAAAAAUAAAAUGAUCAUUACACAAUAUGAAAAUGAAUAAUAAAAUUCAUGCUAACAAUUUUACUUUACUUAGAAUGGCAUUAAGUAGCAAAAUUUAAAACCACGACCAGUUGAGAAAUUGUUAAAGGAUGGAAAAAGCUUUAUAGUUAGUACCUUUAACCUAAUUUUUCCUUUUAAUUUUUUUUUCUUUUUUUGAGACAGGGUCUUGCUCUGUCACCCUGGCUGGAUUGCAGUGGUGUGAUCACAGCUCACUGCAGCCUCAGCCUCCUGGGCUCAAGUGAUACUCCCACCUUAGCCUCCCUAGUAGCUGGGACUACAGGUGCACACUACUCCACCCAGCUAAUUUUCAAAUAUUUUGUAGAGACAGCGUCUUGCUAUGUUGCUUAGGGUGGUCUCAAACUCCUGGGCUCAAGCAGUCCUCCUGCCUUGGCCUCCCAAAGUGCUGCGAUUACAGGCAUGAACCACCGCACCCGGCCCAAGGAGUUUGCCUUUUCAUUUUGCACUGGGCCCUGGAUAUUACAUAGCUGACCUUGUCUUCAGGACUAGGAAAAGGACCGAUAGAAUCCUGUGUUCCUUUUGAAUUAAUCUACAUUUCUUUGACAACAAGCUGGACAUAGGCUUCAUGAAGUACAGGGGGCUCCAGGAAUACUUUGUUCUGAAAUCCAAGAAUCCUCACUGUAUCCUUUACCCAAGCUCUGGCAUAUGUCAUCAUGACUUUGGUUCCCUUGGGGCAAAGAGCAUACUUUUGGCCUGAAUGGACAUUGAGUGUGGGGGUGCUUAACACCUCUGAACAGGUCUUGUCCACUUUUGAGUUGGAGGGCAGGUCAGCUAGGUGUGCACUUCCAAAAGAGCCCUCACUGUCCAAGGUGCAGUUGUAAUCCAGGAAGGAAAUGAGGUCCAUGAUGUGCCACUAUGUGGAGAACUCACAGGUUAUCACAACACUGAAACUCUUGAUGAAUGAUUACUGGAGGAGGGAGUUUACAUCGUGUCAGGCCCUACACUAUGGAGUGUAGGGAUGCCACCCUUGGUUCCCAUUGUCCAAAAACAAAACCCAGGAACUUCCACAUCUUACUGUCCUUCACAUUGGUGUGGAAGGCUUUGAAGAAUCUGCUGUCCUGAUGAGCGCCUUGUCUCACCACAAAAGGCUACAACAGGGAUAUGGCAUCAAUUGGAUCCUCAUCCAGCUUGAAAUAAACCGUGGAAGCUGCUUUUCCUCAGGACCCGAUAGAGGGUGAAGUUCUGGGCUUGGUAGAGACUGAAGCAGACUGGCACAUCAGUGGUCACGACUGCAGUCAAAGUGGGAGACACGAUGGUAAGGAAGAUGCCAGAACCACCUGCUAUUUCUCCUAGCUCUAUCAUACAUGCCCACAUGGCACUCAAGUAUCCUGGUAGCA
rnacentral:lncRNA from 1 species